rnacentral:rRNA from 1 species
UACGUAGGUGGCAAGCGUUGUCCGGAAUUACUGGGUGUAAAGGGCGUGUAGGCGGGGCGGCAAGUCAGAUGUGAAAUUCCGUGGCUUAACUGCGGGGGUGCAUCUGAAACUGUCGUUCUUGAGUAUCGGAGAGGAAAGUGGAAUUCCCAGUGUAGCGGUGAAAUGCGUAGAGAUUGGGAGGAACAUCGGUGGCGAAGGCGGCUUUCUGGACGAUAACUGACGCUGAGGCGCGAAAGCGUGGGUAGCAAAC